GGGGUUGUGGCUCAGAGGUAGAGCGUUCACCAAACAUGCGUGAGGCACUGGGUUCGAUCCUCAGCACCACA
rnacentral:tRNA from 1 species